CAGGGGGGUCAAAAUACCAUGGCUAAAUAAAAUUUUCAAAAUAUCUUUUCCAGUAUAUUAAAUACAUACAAACUACUUAUUGGAGUAAUAUAACUAUGUUAAGGAGUUAGAAUAGCUUGAAUUUUUGAAAUUGAAGGUCUAUAGUAGGGGGUUUCAAUAUACCGCAGGGGGGUCAAAAUACCAUGGCUAAGUAAAAUUUUCAAAAUAUCUUUUCCAGUAUAUUAAAUACAUACAAACUACUUAUUGGAGUAUUACAACUAUGUUAAGGAGUUAGAAUAGCUUGAAUUUUUGAAAUUCAAGGUCUAUAGUAGGGGGUUCAAUAUACCGCAGGGGGGUCAAAAUACCAUGGCUAAGUAAAAUUUUCAAAAU
rnacentral:lncRNA from 1 species